rnacentral:rRNA from 1 species
GGUCAAGCGAUGAAGCGCAUAUGGUGGAUGCCUAGGCAGCCAGAGGCGAUGAAAGACGUGGAAGCCUGCGAUAAGGCUCGGCGAGGUGGCAAACAACCUGUGACCCGGGCAUCUCUGAAUGGGGAAACCCACCCACGGUAACGUGGUAUCCUGCACUGAAUAUAUAGGUGUCAGGAGGCGAACCGGGGGAACUGAAACAUCUCAGUACCCCGAGGAAAAGAAAUCAACCGAGAUUCCCCCAGUAGCGGCGAGCGAACGGGGACUAGCCCUUAAGCGGCACGACUGAUAGGCGAACGAGCUGGGAAGCUCGACCAUAGCGGGUGAUAGUCCCGUAGCCGAAAUCUGAGUGUCGUGAAAUCGAGUAGGUCGGGGCACGAGAAACCUUGACUGAAGACGGGGGGACCAUCCUCCAAGGCUAAAUACU